GUCACAGGCAAUGAAAAUUUUCAGCAACCCUUUGUUAAUCUCAAGGGUUAUUUAGUUGGCAACCCAGUUACAGAUGACAGGAUUGACAUCAGUUCUCAACCUCCUCAUGCUUAUGGAUUGGGAAUAAUUUCGGAUGAACUACUAAAGG